rnacentral:rRNA from 1 species
UGGGGGAUAUUGCACAAUGGGCGAAAGCCUGAUGCAGCGACGCCCGUGGGGGAUGAAGGCCUUCGGGUUGUAAACUUCUUUUGCUCUGAACAAGGCAUGCUAAUGGGUGUGUUGAGUGUAGGGGUUGAUUAGCGCCGGCUAACUACGUGCCAGCAGCCGCGGUAAUACGUAGGGCGCGAGCGUUGUCCGGAAUUAUUGGGCGUAAAGGGCUUGUAGGUGGCUGGUUGCGUCUGUCGUGAAAGCUCAUGGCUUAACUGUGGGGUUGCGGUGGGUACGGGCUGGCUUGAGUGCAGUAGGGGAGGCUGGAAUUCCUGGUGUAGCGGUGGAAUGCGCAGAUAUCAGGAGGAAUACCGGUGGCGAAGGCGGGUCUCUGGGCUGUUACUGACACUGAGGAGCGAAAGCAUGGGGAGCGAACAGG